UAGGGAAUCUUCCGCAAUGGGCGAAAGCCUGACGGAGCAACGCCGCGUGAGUGAUGAAGGUCUUCGGAUCGUAAAACUCUGUUAUUAGGGAAGAACAAAUGUGUAAGUAACUAUGCACGUCUUGACGGUACUUCAUCAGAAAGCCAUGGUUAACUACGUGCCAGCAGCCGCGGUAAUACGUAGGUGGCAAGCGUUAUCCGGAAUUAUUGGGCGUAAAGCGCGCGUAGGCGGUUUUUUAAGUCUGAUGUGAAAGCCCACGGCUCAACCGUGGAGGGUCAUUGGAAACUGGAAAACUUGGGUGCAGAAGAGGAAAGGGGAAUUCCAUGUGUAGCGGUGAAAUGCGCAGAGAUAUGGGAGAACACCAGUGGCGAAGGCGACUUUCUGGACUGUAACUGACGCUGAUGUGCGAAAGCGUGGGGAUCAAACAGG
rnacentral:rRNA from 1 species